AUACAUACAUUCUUAGCAUCUCUGAGACUGUCACAGUGAGUUACUUUUCGUCUAUUGAAGGAAAGCUUGGGUUUUUGAUACAUUGGAUUGCAAACAGAUUCAAUUUUGGUGCAAAAAAAUGUCUGGACAUCAAAUGAGGAUGUGAUUACUACGAUGGCUAAUCAGCACCAUGAAGAGAAAAUCUAGAGGAAGCGCUAGAACUGUCAGUGAUGAUUUAUAUAAUUCAAUGGCUGCUAUUUCCUCUGUUGCGGAGUAGAAAUGCUAUCAAAUCACAGGAGAAGGAAAUCCAUGUUGAGUUUUCAUUAAUAAAAGUAUGUCCCCGCUUUAUGCGUUAACGAAAAGGGAGCAUCGUGUUCCAUCUUAGGACCGAAGUAGGAAAAAAGAAGUUAAACACGAACUCUGAUACCAGGCAGGGAUAUUGGUGCACAUGGAUUUGUUCAAUUACGAAGAAAGGUAAGUUUUAUUGUUAAUUUUUAGAUUGUACAUUAUUUAUCAUAAUAAUCAUGGGUCUUGCGGCUGAAUUGGGUUGUUUUUCUCCCUCGAUGAAUGAACGGGAAGAGGAAGUACGUUCUGCUUUUGAUAACUUAUAUCCAGGAAAAACACUUGGAUUUAUGGAAGGUGCGUAUGAAAUAUGUUUGUUUCCUUGGCCUACAAUUUGUCUCUUAUUUUUGUUGAAUUUCCAAAUUCAAAUUUGUCUCUUAUUUUUCUCCACUUCCUGAUAUAAUGAUAUAGAUUGAAGCUAGCUUGAUCUUGGGAUUUCUUGCUAAUGAUCUUCUAAUGAUCUCGACAAUUAAGGGUGGGAAAUGCAAGUAUUAAUUAUCUGUCCGUUAGAGAGCUCAAACUAUUUAAGGUUACAAUUAAGAUUUGCUAGAAAUGGCUAAUGUUUGACAUUUAACAUGUAUUUGUUACGUUAUAUGUGCAUUAAGACUGGCUAGAAAAUGGCUAAUGUUUGAGAUUCUCACUGUAGCAUGAACAUUCAAGAAAUUCGGUUGGCCAGAUGACUUCAAAUUUGGAGAAUGUUUGUGGCAAGCAACUUCGAAGGUUGAAUUUAUAAAUGUCUGGUUUUAAUAAGCAAGUCGGUAAAAAUUCUUUGAUGUAAGCAUUAGGACCACUAUGCUGCCCCACAUCGUAGUGAAAAUAAAAUUUGGGUCCAAAUUCUGUGUUUUUUUCAUUAGAUAGGGUACUCCGAUACAUUUGUAUGAUGUUUAGAUAUUUGUAAUGGUGAUCUAAUUGGUCAGGCAUGUUUUUUUUUUUUUUUAGUCCGGAGUGAAGGGAGUUGAGGUGGAUUUGGGUAAUCAAGUUGUAGUAUUGUGGUAGUGCUCAGUUCUUCUCUUGGAGAUGAGUUACACGCCAUCAUUCCCGAAAGUCAUAUCUUGAAGUUCGAUAAGAAUAUCCAAGAGGGUGGUUUGUGUAUCUAUUAGGUUUCUCUAUUUCAGUAAGUUUAUCUGUUAUAUCUAAUAAUGUUGCACAAAACUGAACUUCAUUGAAUCACAGGUAUAUCUAAUAAUUUUGGUGGUACGCUCCGCUUGACCUUGGCUACUGUGUCGUUAGGAGAACUCUUUCGGUCAUGAAAAUUAAUCUAAUUGCAACUGAAACACUAAAUUUAAUAUGAAACAUUUCAGGUUAGCAGCAAACCAUCUUGCUAGCCAGUGCUAAAUUCUUUUGGAACUUAUCUCCUGCAGUAGCUUGCUAUUACUGCCAUUGUGUAAGAUUUCUUCCCUGAUAUAUUUUUUUCGCUCAUUUUAUAGGCUAACUGCAGUCACUUAUUUUUAAAUGUUCACCCAAAAAGAUCCAAUACGUAUUCAAUAAUUUCUUUCUUAAUCAUAUUAUUCUCUCUGAUAAGGUUAGAGCUUUCAUACAUUUACAUAAUUUGCUCGGCUAUAUGAUGGUUUUGGAUGGAGUAACUUAGAAGUUGAAUGUAAGACUUCACUUUUAGAAACCAAUAUUACUUACGGAUGUUACCUAAUCCAAAAAAAUAGUGAAUUUGAUUAACGAUGUUGUGUAUAAUGCACUUUGUAAACAUUCAUAUUCCUUCUCAAAAAGAAUAAAGCUUUUAUUUCUCUGAUGUGGCUUAUUGUGAUUUGGUCCGGUUAAUUUGAGGUUACCCAAAUCUCUUGAAGGAUUUACCAUGUGGUUUUGUUUUCAUGACUACAGAAAAUUGCAGAAUUUGAUGAUGCACAUGAUGCAAAACCUCUAAAAUUGAGCGGAGGAAGCAUUAAAUUUAACAAUGUACAUUUUAAGAUUAUUACUCAGUAUACUUAAUAUCACGUACGUAUUAGGUGCUUGCUUGCAUACACAUCUUUGCUUUGUUGUGACUUUUGCACUUAAAGCGUACCUUCCCCAUGCCAUGUACCUUUCUCGGUUACUCUUCACAAUGCCUUUCACUGGUACUUGAUGAAAUCUUUGUUUUAACCUUUAAACAUAGGCGGUUCGCGUGCAACUGAACUGCUUUUUUGUGGCUCUUAUCGUCUCUUCAGCUGGCUUAAACUAUUAGGAGUUAUCAUAUUGUCUCUUGAUGAUCUAUGGAGGACAUACCUUUGGACGAGUUUGCUCAAUUUUUUUUCUGUUGCCAGGAAUCUAAGUUUGUUGUAAUCGGUAUGAAAAGUUUCCUUCUAUUAUUAACUGAAUCACUCUUUGAUUGUUUGUAGAUUUUGUAGUUGCAGGUUGUGGGAUGGGUAUAUCCACCUUUCUGAAAGUAGAGAUCCAAAUCUGCACAUGUAAAUAAGGAUUUGGUAUUGGUGAGUUAUUGUUAUGGCUUGACAUUGUAAUUGAAUCGCCUUUGAACUUGCACGAUAAUGACGAUAUCUUGCUCGACAUAACUUCAAAAGCCAAAGGAGUAUUAAGAAAGGUUAUCCUAAAAUAUCCUGUAAGAAUCACAGAUGACUUCAAAAGCGUCAUACGGGGCAAUUUUUUCAUAUAAAAGGUACUUGGGAUUUAACCAUCUAAUAAUUAUCCUUUACUUCUAAUGCUACUAUAAUGCAUACUUAGCAGCAACAGUUUUAUUGUUAAAUUAAUUAGACAUGUGAAAUCUAAUUGGAUACUAUGUAUAUAAGUGAAUGGUUAUACCAGAUUUUUUUUUUUU